GCCGGGCGUGGUGGCGGGCGCCUGUAGUCCCAGCUACUCGGAGGCUGAGGCGGGAGAAUGGCGUGAACCCGGGAGGUGGAGCUUGCAGUGAGCCGAGAUCGCGCCACUGCACUCCAGCCUGGGUGACAGAGCGAGACUCCGUCUCAA
ensembl:misc_RNA Metazoa_SRP Metazoan signal recognition particle RNA